rnacentral:rRNA from 1 species
UUGGAGGGCAAGUCUGGUGCCAGCAGCCGCGGUAAUUCCAGCUCCAAUAGCGUAUAUUAAAGUUGUUGCAGUUAAGAAGCUCGUAGUUGAAUUUCGGGAUCAAUACGUCGGUCGUGCUUUUUUGGUACGCACUGGCGUCAUUGGUUUCUCCUUUCUGACGAACCAUGAUGUCAUUAAUUUGGUGUUAUGGGGAGUUAGGACUGUUACUUUGAAAAAAUUAGAGUGUUUAAAGCAGGCAUUAGCUUGAAUACAUUAGCAUGGAAUAAUGAAAUAGGACGUUCGAUCCUAUUUUGUUGGUUUCUAGGAUCAACGUAAUGAUUAAUAGGGAUAGUUGGGGGCAUUAGUAUUCAAUUGUCAGAGGUGAAAUUCUUGGAUUUAUUGAAGACUAACUACUGCGAAAGCAUUUGCCAAGGAUGUUUUCAUUAAUCAAGAACGAAAGUUAGGGGAUCGAAGACGAUCAGAUACCGUCGUAGUCUUAACCAUAAACUAUGCCGACUAGGGAUCGGAUGAUGUUAAUUUUUUAAUGACUCAUUCGGCGCCUUACGGGAAAC